GGGCCCGCACAAGCGGUGGAGCAUGUGGUUUAAUUCGAUGCAACGCGAAGAACCUUACCUACUCUUGACAUCCAGAGAACUUUUCAGAGAUGAAUUGGUGCCUUCGGGGAACUCUGAGACAGGUGCUGCAUGGCUGUCGUCAGCUCGUGUUGUGAAAUGUUGGGUUAAGUCCCGCAACGAGCGCAACCCUUAUCCUUGUUUGCCAGCACUUCGGGUGGGAACUCCAGGGAGACUGCCGGUGAUAAACCGGAGGAAGGCGGGGAUGACGUCAAGUCCUCAUGGCCCUUAUGGGCUGGGCUACACACGUGCUACAAUGGCAGUGACAGAGGGACGCUACCAGGUGACUGGAUGCAAAUCUCAAAAAGCUGUCUCAGUUCGGAUUGUUGUCUGCAACUCGACAACAUG
rnacentral:rRNA from 1 species